GUUUUAAUAGUUUAAAUAAAACAAUGAUUUUGUAAAUCAUAAAUAGAAUAAUCUUUAAAACU
rnacentral:tRNA from 1 species